UAUUUUUUAUUUUAUAUAUAUCUUUCUUCAUCACAAUGCUACUCUCUCUCUGUUGAGGUUUCCCUUACACUCAGAAAAUUAAAUAAAGAUGGACCGAAAUCAAUGACUUUCCUAUAGAUUCUCCAAAAAUUCAAGCUCUUUUAGGGUUUCCCAAUUUCUCAGAGGACGUUGUGAAUGAUGCCGGCAAAAUCUGAAAAAGAUCGACGUUUAGACCACCGUGGACCGAGCCCGUUCCAAACAAACAUUUACUCCCAACCUUGGUGGCGUGAUGUGGGGAACAGUCCCUCUUUAGGUGACACUGCAUCAAAAUUGUCUUCAGUAGGGAACCUAAAUGGUUCUCUUGCGAAUGCAGCAAUACAAUCACAAGUUAAUACUGGCUUACAGAAAGGAGCUAUGGUGAACAAAGACAUGCAGACCGAUGUAACAUCGCAAUCUGAUGAAAGUAAUGGACAAGAACACCAUCUCAAACACAUUCCAUCACCAACAACUGUCACCAUGGGCGGACACCUUGAACCAAAUUCCCAGAUGGAACUUGUUGGCCACUCAAUUGUUUUGACUUCACAUCCAUAUACAGAUCCACAGUAUGGCGGGAUGUUUGCUUCUUAUGGAGCACAAGCAAUGGUACCUCAAUUAUAUGGAAUGCCACAGGCCAGAAUGCCCUUGCCCCUUGAAAUGGAAGAGGAGCCUGUGUAUGUAAAUGCAAAACAGUUUCAUGGCAUUAUGAGGCGAAGACAGGCACGUGCUAAGGCAGAGCUUGAAAAAAAGGCAGUAAAAGUUAGAAAGCCAUAUCUACAUGAGUCUCGACACCAACAUGCUAUGAGAAGGGCAAGAGGUUGUGGUGGCCGUUUUCUCAAUACAAAGAAGCUUGAUAAUAACGCUACCAAUCCCACAUCAGAAAAGGGUAGUGGAGAUUUGAAUUCCUCUGGCGAUCUGGAAGAAGGAAAAGGGUCCCAGUCUUCCUCCAAUGGUCAUGGUAAUGGUCAUGCACUCUCAUCAAGAUAUCAUUCAUCAUCACAUGAUGGCAGCUUCUUGGGUCAGCAAAAGGAAACCACACACGGGAAUAGGGUGUCUAAUGGAGCUGUCUCCAUUCAUUAAACUUCCACCUCAAGUUGUACGGGGCCCUUCAGCAUUGCUACAAUGGAAAAGCUGGUGGCAUUAGCCAUGUUCAACUUGGGAGGAAACUUUUCCUGUGCUGUGUUUCUCAGGCAAUUCAUUCUUGGCUUUAGGUCUUUGGUUACUUGGUGCAUUCAUGGUGAUGAGAGUGUAGCAUAUGUGAUGGACUUCAUGCUAUCUUCAGACUUGAACUAAUUUCAUCUCUCUUCUUUUAGCGGCUUCUGUAAAAAUGGCAAAAACUUGUGUAUCUACCUAGUAGAAAUUACUCUCGAAUGUAGUAAUUCCAAAUGGUCUGCAUUUGAACUUUCAUGUGACCUCUUCUUUCUGUGUGAGAAAAGGGUUUACCUCUUCUACCCUAACAUCUCAAAGACGCCAAGAGGUGGCUGUUCUUUCCGUCAGUCUUUUCCCUUCUGAAUUCUGAUUGUUCUUAGGAUUCA